rnacentral:rRNA from 1 species
UACGUAGGGGCAAGGCGUUGUCCGGAUUAUUGGUGCGUAAAGAGCGUGUAGGCGGCCAUGUAGGUCCGUUGUGAAAACUCGAGGCUCAACCUCGAGACGCCGAUGGAAACCAUGUGGCUAGAGUCCGGAAGAGGAGAGUGGAAUUCCUGGUGUAGCGGUGAAAUGCGCAGAUAUCAGGAAGAACACCCGUGGCUAAGGCGGCUCUCUAGUACGGUACUGACGCUGAAGACGCGAAAGCGUGGGGAGCGAACAGG